rnacentral:rRNA from 1 species
AGCGAACGCUGGCGGCAGGCCUAACACAUGCAAGUCGAACGAACCCUUCGGGGUUAGUGGCGGACGGGUGAGUAACACGUGGGAACGUGCCUUUAGGUUCGGAAUAACUCAGGGAAACUUGUGCUAAUACCGAAUGUGCCCUUCGGGGGAAAGAUUUAUCGCCUUUAGAGCGGCCCGCGUCUGAUUAGCUAGUUGGUGAGGUAAAGGCUCACCAAGGCUACGAUCAGUAGCUGGUCUGAGAGGAUGACCAGCCACAUUGGGACUGAGACACGGCCCAGACAUCUACGGAUGGCUGCAGUCAAGAAUAUUCCGCAAUGGACGAAAGUCUGACGGAGCGACGCCGCGUGCAGGAUGAAGCCCCUCGGGGUGUAAACUGCUUUUAUAGGGGACGAAUUCGUGACGGUACCCUAUGAAUAAGAGGUUGCUAACUCUGUGCCAGCAGCCGCCGUAAUAC